ensembl:lncRNA LINC02241 long intergenic non-protein coding RNA 2241
AGCUGCCAUGUACUAGGCCACGUGGCAAGGGCCUGGUUGGGGACCUCCAGGGGUUGAGAGCAUCCUCUGGACAACAUGGAAAAAGAAAAUGAAAAUGGUGACCUCAGCCCUAUAGCUAGAAGGAAUUGAAUCCUGUCAACAACGAUACUCAUCACUCACUGCAGAUGUUACUUUAAGACAUUCUGGAGCAGCGUCAUGUGCAGGAGAAAAUAGUAUCAUCUCAGCCUUCUAUGAAAUCAAGGCAAUAUGUGCGUAGUGCCUCCGCCCAUCUCUCUCUUGCUCCUGGUCUCAUCGUGACGGGCCUGGUCCUGCCUCACUUUAUGCCACGACUAAGAGCUCCCUGAGGCCUCUCCAGAAGCAGAUAUCACUAUGCUUCCUACACAGCCUGCAGAACCGAACAAUAAGGAAGUGAGUGCUUUUGUAAUUCCUGAACAACUGUGUCUUACACUUACUAAGUUCUCUUGCCUGCCACCAUGUAAGAUAUGCUUUUACUCUUCCGCCUUCCACCGUGACUGUGAGGCCUCCCCAGCCAUGUGAAACUGCCUUUGAGCUUAUACUGAAUUAUACCACCAGCUUUCCUAGGUCUUGAAGCUUACAGACAGCAGAUCUUGGGACUUCUCAGGCACCAUAAUCAAUCAUAGAUAAAUGAUCCAAUGAUUCGGAACUUGAAAAGUGGUAGCUUUAUGAAUUCUCCUUAAGAAGAAACCUGUGCCCUGAUCUUGCCUACUCACCCAAAGGCACUGUGAGAUAGCAUCAAAGGAACAGCUAGUAAGAGACACAGAGCCAGAAAUCAGGGAAGUAAAAUACACUUGACAUCUACGUUCGGAAAGAAAUUUUAGGAGGCAGAAGCAAAUGGAUCAGAAGCUGCUUAUAUUUUUGCAAGAUUACCAAAGAAACCAUUGGUGGAGAAAGUUCUGUGACCAACUUGUCUGAGUCUAGUAAGAUUGAACGCUCACACACAAGUUUCAUGAAGUGGGUUUGAUACUUACAGAUAAGCAGCAAGGACCAACAGAAGCUGAUGAUCUAUGGUGAACUUUUUCCCAAGGCUCCGGAAAGCUGCCUAAAGUAGAUGGAGUCUUCUCUGUGUGUGCCCCACUGGUCCUGCAGUUGAAGGAUCCGGUAAAGCAGCCUGCCCUUGGUUUUAUACUCCAGAGGAACGUGAUUCGCUGGACUAAAGCAUUGAAGUGCAUCCUGUUUCCGGGGGGCACUGGAACAGAGCCUGGUCUGUUCUAGCCAGUCCCUUUCUAUCUCAGGAUAACAUUCUACAGUUAUUCUUGAGAACUAUAAUCAAAUAAGCAGGGAGAACUGGAGGCUCAUUGUGGAACCCUCAAGGAGCAUGGGGUCGUCUUCAUCCCUCAGUUUAUAAAUGGCCAAGGAGAGUAAUGCAACAAAAACUUCUCAGAGUUAAAAGCCAGAGUUCCUAAAGAACCGUGGACAAAGGGUUCUGUCUAGUGGGCAGAAUUCAUCCAGCGAAGGUCUCCUAACUACAGAGGGUCACAUCUGGAUCUGAUGGCACCUACAGAACUUGGACUCUGAGCGACAAUCAGUGACCAGGAAAUUUGGAACCCAGGUUUUCCCAACCUACAUCUACAAAAUGGAAUGGGUCUGAUUCGCAAGUUUUCAGAGAAAGAAGCCAACCUUAAUCAGACUGUGAUAUGAUGAGGAAAUAAAACUUGCUGUGCUAAUC